AGAGAACAUCAGGUUUCUAACUAUCCUCAACAUGUAAAUCUGACAGGAGAAAACAUCUGGUUUCUAACUAUCCUCAACAUGUAAAUCUGACAGGAGAAAACAUCUGGUUUCUAACUAUCCUCAACAUGUAAAUCUGACAGGAGAAAACAUCUGGUUUCUAACUAUCCUCAACAUGUAAAUCUGACAGGAGAAAACAUCAGGUUUCUAACUAUCCUCAACAUGUAAAUCUGACAGGAGAAAACAUCUGGUUUCUAACUAUCCUCAACAUGUAAAUCUGACAGGAGAAAACAUCUGGUUUCUAACUAUCCUCAACAUGUAAAUCUGACAGGAGAAAACAUCUGGUUUCUAACUAUCCUCAACAUGUAAAUCUGACAGGAGAGAACAUCAGGUUUCUAACUAUCCUCAACAUGUAAAUCUGACAGGAGAAAACAUCAGGUUUCUAACUAUCCUCAACAUGUAAAUCUGACAGGAGAAAACAUCGGGUUUCUAACUAUCCUCAACAUGUAAAUCUGACAGGAGAAAACAUCGGGUUUCUAACUAUCCUCAACAUGUAAAUCUGACAGGAGAAAACAUCGAGUUUCUAACUAUCCUCAACAUGUAAAUCUGACAGGAGAAAACAUCGGGUUUCUAACUAUCCUCAACAUGUAAAUCUGACAGGAGAAAACAUCUGGUUUCUAACUAUCCUCAACAUGUAAAUCUGAGAGGAGAAAACAUCGGGUUUCUAACUAUCCUCAACAUGUAAAUCUGACAGGAGAAAACAUCGGGUUUCUAACUAUCCUCAACAUGUAAAUCUGACAGGAGAAAACAUCUGGUUUCUAACUAUCCUCAACAUGUAAAUCUGACAGGAGAAAACAUCGGGUUUCUAACUAUCCUCAACAUGUAAAUCUGACAGGAGAAAACAUCUGGUUUCUAACUAUCCUCAACAUGUAAAUCUGACAGGAGAAAACAUCGGGUUUCUAACUAUCCUCAACAUGUAAAUCUGACAGGAGAAAACAUCUGGUUUCUAACUAUCCUCAACAUGUAAAUCUGACAGGAGAAAACAUCAGGUUUCUAACUAUCCUCAACAUGUAAAUCUGAGAGGAGAAAACAUCGGGUUUCUAACUAUCCUCAACAUGUAAAUCUGACAGGAGAAAACAUCAGGUUUCUAACUAUCCUCAACAUGUAAAUCUGACAGGAGAAAACAUCGAGUUUCUAACUAUCCUCACCAUGUAAAUCUGACAGGAGAAAACAUCGAGUUUCUAACUAUCCUCAACAUGUAAAUCUGACAGGAGAAAACAUCGAGUUUCUAACUAUCCUCACCAUGUAAAUCUGACAGGAGAAAACAUCGAGUUUCUAACUAUCCUCAACAUGUAAAUCUGACAGGAGAAAACAUCGGUUUCUAACUAUCCUCAACAUGUAAAUCUGACAGGAGAAAACAUCGAGUUUCUAACUAUCCUCGCUCCUCACCAUGUAAAUCUGACAGGGGAAAACAUCUGGUUUCUAACUAUCCUCAUAAUCCUCA